UUUAAACUAUUCUUUG
rnacentral:tRNA from 19 species